rnacentral:rRNA from 1 species
AACGGCCAUACCAUGCUGAAGAUACCGGUUCUCGUUAGGUCACCGAAGUCAAGCAUCAUUGGGCGCGGUCAGUACUUGGGUGGGUGACCACCUGGGAACACCGCGUGCCGUU